GCCCAACUGGCGCAAUGGUAGCGCGUGAGAUUUCUGCAGACGUAAUAAAGUAUCUCAAGGCUAAGGGUUCGAAUCCCUUGUUGGGUU